UUAACCUUCAUCAAGGGACUCUAGUUCCUUUUUGCUUUCUGCUAUUAGGGUGGUUGAACAUAACCUUCCUAGCAUGGGAAAUGAGCACAAUUAUGUAGUAGUUUGAACAAUUCUUACCUACUCUAGGUGGCUCAGAGGCAGAUUCCUCACCCUCUGAGCCACCAGGGAAGCCCUACUGAGCAACUACUGAAGUCCACUCGCCUAGAGCCCGUGCUCCACAACAAGAGAAGCCACCACAAUGAGAAGCCACACACCAAGCGAAGAGUGGUCGCUGCUCUCCAUAACUCAAGAAAUCCUGCACAAAAGCAAUGAAGACUCAGCACAG
ensembl:lncRNA